rnacentral:lncRNA from 10 species
GCUGGUCAUGAACUCCUGACCUCAGAUGAUCUGCCUGCCUCGGCCUCCCAAAGUGCUGGGAUUACAGGCGUGAGCCACCGUGCCCAGCCAAUUUAUGUGAACUUUUAAGAGUAAGAGUCUGCCCCCCAUAUGCCUCAGCACAGAGUCUGGGCAUAUCGAAGUGGAGAAGGCGUCUGCUCACGCUCUGGAUAGUAGUGUGCUGGCAAAUACUUAACAAUCAGCUCUCCAACAGUGAAAAGCCCUGGCAGCAUUUGCCUAUUUCUAAGGUGUAAAUGUUCCCUUCAUGAGUGAUUAUAAGCCACCAAUACAAGGCCACUCAACAUGGAGUUGUGAAGGACAGCACAUGGUUUUCUCUCAGAAGCCAGCAGGAGCCAGCUUCAGCACCCGACUUGCUCUGGGCUUAGCUUACCAUGAACCAAUCUCUAAGCAUAAAUCAACUACCCAGAAGAGUAACAGCUUAUGAAGUAAUUAGGGUCAGAUUUGGAAGUGGUGUGGUGAAGAGGAUCUGAAAGGGUUUUUCACAUUCAAAUUUCCCAAGAAUUAUCUUCGGCAGAGUAAGAGCCAGUAGUAUCAGAUACACACGGGAAUGAUCAGUCUCUUGAGAUGGACAAUAUUUAUCAAGCAUCUUCUCAUGUAGCACACUUUAAUAAAAGUCCAAGCCAAAAGGGGCCAACCUAUGCCCUCUAUGGCAAUAUAAAUCUCCAGAAGUUGCUGACCUAUUUACAGUUUGUGACCCAAGAUUCUUUAUGCAAUAGAAAUAGGGUUUUGUGAAAUUUUAGGAUUUGGAAAAGACCUCACGGAUUAUCUAUUCCAGUGACUUUAUCAGACUCAAGAUCCCACUCUUCCCCACUUUAUGGAGGAAUAAUGGAAGUAUGUUUUUGAGGUGUACAAUCUGAUCAGUUUUGUGUAUGUAUACAACUUUGGAACCAUCCUUUAAAAAAUAUUCUGUAACACACCAUGAAAGAAAUUCAUCCACUUACAAAUAUGUUUUUAAAAAUCAAUGUAAUGAUGAAUUGCUAAAUGCUCAGGUAGUUUUGUGCCAGGACGACAUAGUGAAGAAGUCAGAUGGGUGCAUGUGCAUAGAGAACCAUCGGAAAUCAACAGCGUCAGCAUGAAUGAAUGAACAAUGAACAAUGAAUGAAUACAUGUGGGGCUCAAAAGUGGGCAGCUUUGCAAAAUGUGAGCUGAUUUUCCAAACCAGUGCC